GGCAAGCAGCAGCAUCCUGUUCAUCAUGUUCACUUGUGUACUUAUACUGCUGACUUCAACUCAAGGUAACAGAGCUAAAGAUGUCAUCACCCCAUACAGUGAUGCAGUAUUUGCCACUGAGACUGAGAGUGUCAAACUCUCUUGUAACUACACUGGUUCUGUUGAUAGUCUUCACUGGUAUCGGCAAUAUGCAGGUUCACCACCACAGUUCCUCAUCCUGGAUUAUUUAGGAUUGGUUACUCCUGCUAAUCCUCCAGUGUCUGGAAUAUCCAUCUUUCACAGGAAAGAAAAUAACAGUGUGGAUCUGAAGAUCUCCUCUGCUGCUGUAUCAGACUCUGCUCUGUACUACUGUGCUCUGCAGCCCACAGUCACAGGAAACACUCAACACACCAUACAAAAACCUGAAACAGUAUUAAGUUGCAAACUUGCAGUGAUGUCUAACCAUCAUAUAUGUUAA